rnacentral:rRNA from 1 species
AACGAACGCUGGCGGCAUGCCUAACACAUGCAAGUCGAACGAGACCUUCGGGUCUAGUGGCGCACGGGUGCGUAACGCGUGGGAAUCUGCCCUUGGGUUCGGAAUAACAGCGAGAAAUUGCUGCUAAUACCGGAUGAUGACGUAAGUCCAAAGAUUUAUCGCCCAAGGAUGAGCCCGCGUAGGAUUAGCUAGUUGGUGAGGUAAAGGCUCACCAAGGCGACGAUCCUUAGCUGGUCUGAGAGGAUGAUCAGCCACACUGGGACUGAGACACGGCCCAGACUCCUACGGGAGGCAGCAGUGGGGAAUAUUGGACAAUGGGCGAAAGCCUGAUCCAGCAAUGCCGCGUGAGUGAUGAAGGCCUUAGGGUUGUAAAGCUCUUUUACCCGGGAUGAUAAUGACAGUACCGGGAGAAUAAGACUCCGGGCUAACUACCGUGCCAGCAGCCGCGGUAAU